rnacentral:lncRNA from 7 species
GUAAGUAAGUGCUAUUCUGUGUUUUGGUGUUGUCAUUUGUGCUCUUAUUACAGCUGUGCUCAUCCAGCGACCCAUAAGCUAGGUUUUAUGACACUUUAUUUAUCCUUCAUCUUUCCUUCCUCGCGGCUCUUUUAUGCUCAAGUGAGGUCUGGAUGAAUUGCUGUGGUAAUGGCAGAGUUGAUUCCUCUCAUGUCAUGUGCUUCUGUAGAAAUAAAUAGGAGGUGUUACUUUCGGUGCAACCAACAUAUGAACCAUGAGGCAUAAUCGUAGUCAAUGAGGAGGUAAUGGAACAUUUCUGCUCAGAGGUUCUUCAUCUUAUCAGUAGCAAUGACUGGAUGAUUAACUUGUCUCCAGAUUAGGGCACUGAAGCCUUGUUUUCUUGGUCACGAGAUACUACAACGUAUUCCACUGAGCGAUCUGAGCACUUUAAGCCAUGCAAAGACAAGGAUCUUGCAUACUGUCUCAAUGAGGGGGAAUGCUUUGUGAUUGAAACCUUAACAGGAUCACAUAAACACUGCCGCAGCAAUUGCCCUUCUGGUGUUUUCUGCUGGUGACCUGUCUGAAUAGAUGUUCUUCCAGAGGUGGUUGUGGUUUGGGGCAUUGAUGCUGGGAAGAGGAUUACAGGAAGAGCUCAGCUGUUCCUUCAUUGCUCAGUCCACGUUUAUAAAGAAGGAUGGACAGUGACCUGUGAGCAAGCUUUGUUGCAAAGAAAGCAUUAUCUGUUGUAACUUUUGCAAUAAAAAUAUUUCUUGUAUUACUCUAUUUCUUAGGUGGUUUUGUUGACGUGAUUGUUCUUAUCAGUCUCUUAUGUUUCUGCAGUAAGUUCAUUUGCUGGCUGCUUUCAAGAUGUGUGUUCCUUGCUGGCAAGUGGUAUUUCCACCUGUUAUGUGCUUGAUAAUGUUAGGUAAAGAAAAUAGUGAUGAAAAUGAGAAAAGUUGUUUCAUGUUUUUGUAAAAUAUUUUUCACAAUGCAAUUUUCUAGUUCAUAAAAUGUGAAGUGCAGGCAGAUGGAAUAGGAUCUUUGUGCCUCUGAAACUUGUGCUUGAUAGGAUUUUAAGGAGGCAUGUUUCUAUGUUCCUUCAUUCUUCUGCCCAAAACAAAUAUUAUAUGUUAUAAAAGUAAAUCAGCAGCAACAGAAUUGUUCUGAAUUUUGAUUUUCUGUCUAUUUUGCUUUGUUUCUGUAAAAACUAACUUUUUAUUUUUGCAGUGGUUUGUAAAGACCGUGGUGUUGGUUUUUUUUGUUGUUGUUGUUUGUUUGUUUGUUUUUUCUCUGUAAAAACUGGAAGAGAAGUCUGUAGGGAAGAGGGGACAAUUCGUUGGCAACAUUAUAUUGUCUUGCUUGUCCCCAUCAAUUCUUCACCUCAACGUCCUCUCUAGUUAGUCUGUAAAACAUGGGCCAAGACUAUACUCCCAGAGAGAAAAGAGAUAAUGUCUAAUAAACGAGAUAAAAGAUCUGUAU